rnacentral:rRNA from 1 species
GAUGAACGCUAGCUACAGGCUUAACACAUGCAAGUCGAGGGGUAACGAGAGGAAAGCUUGCUUUCCUUGUCGACGACCGGCGCACGGGUGAGUAACGCGUAUCCAACCUGCCCCCAACUAAGGAAUAACCUUGCGAAAGUAAGACUAAUACCUUAUAAUUUCCUCAGAUGUCAUCUGACGAGGAAUAAAGAUUUAUCGGUUGUGGAUGGGGAUGCGUCUGAUUAGCUUGCUGGCGGGGUAACGGCCCACCAAGGCAACGAUCAGUAGGGGUUCUGAGAUGAAGGUACCCCACAUUGGAACUGAGACACGGUCCAAGCUCCUACUGGAGGCAGCAGUGAGGAAUAUUGGUCAAUGGGCGGAAGCCUGAACCAGCCAAGUAGCGGGCAGGAUGACGGCCCUAUGGGUUGUAAACUGCUUUUAUACAGGAAUAAAGUUAGCCACGUGUGGUUAUUUGUAGGUACUGUAUGAAUAAGGACCGGCUAAUUCCGUGCCAGCCGCCGCAGUAA